GACAGAGGGUGCAAACGUUGUUCGGAAUUACUGGGCGUAAAGCGCGUGUAGGCGGCCCUGCAAGUCGGAUGUGAAAUCCCACGGCUCAACCGUGGAAGUGCAUUCGAAACUGCAGGGCUAGAGUCCUGGAGAGGAAGGUGGAAUGCUUGGUGUAGAGGUGAAAUUCGUAGAUAUCAAGCGGAACACCGGUGGCGAAGGCGGCCUUCUGGACAGUGACUGACGCUGAGACGCGAAAAGCUAGGGUAGCAAACGGGGAUUAAGAUACCCCA
rnacentral:rRNA from 1 species